UUUUCUUUGUGGGAAACCUUUCUUCUCUUCUACACAGGAAGGAAGAAAUGCAAUGCAAGAGCGAUGUAAAAACAUUCUAUGCUAUCAGUAAGACUGGAAGGAAAUUUUUAUCAAACUUUUUCACAGUGGUAUGUAUAGAGAAGAGAGUGCCAAAGUAUUAAGAAUGUGAAUGUCUCCUUUCAGACGGAAAAAAAUCCAACGACCACCGUGAGUCGACUGAGACUGUCUGCCGUCACGCCGAGGGACUCCGGGCGGUACACCUGCCGACCAGACACGGGCGGUUUUGCGUCUGUGUUAGUCCACGUCCAGUCAGACCAACCCCGCGCCGCGGUGCAGCAGAGUGGCCACAAUACUGCUGCUUCCUCACUCACCACCCCGCUGCUGCUGCUGCUGCUGUUGCUUGCCACCUCUCUCGCCUGCCUCCUCCCCUCCUUCAGCCUCGAUGGCUGCUGGUGGUCCUCGCCCUUUUAAUCCAAAGCCUAAAUUGUCAGUUUAAUGUUCUUUUGUGUGUAUGGCUGUAGAUACUAUUUUUGUAAAUAUCUCGAAGAUUUACAAAAUAUAAUGUAUUUUAAUUU